GGACUACCAGGGUAUCUAAUCCUGUUUGCUCCCCACGCUUUCGCCCAUCAGCGUCAGUACUGGCCCAGAGUGCCGCCUUCGCCACCGGUGUUCCUCCUGAUAUCUGCGCAUUUCACCGCUACACCAGGAAUUCCGCACUCCCCUACCAGACUCAAGCCAUGACAGUAUCGGGUGGCGUCCCCAGGUUGAGCCUGGAAAUUUCACACCCGACUUAUCAAGCCGCCUACGGGCCCUUUACGCCCAAUAAAUCCGGACAACGCUCGCACCCUACGUGUUACCGCGGCGGCUGGCAC
rnacentral:rRNA from 1 species